CCUACGGGUGGCAGCAGUGGGGAAUAUUGGACAAUGGGGGGAACCCUGAUCCAGCCAUGCCGCGUGUGUGAAGAAGGCCCUCGGGUUGUAAAGCACUUUCAGUGAGGAAGAACGCCUGGUGGUUAAUACCCAUCAGGAAAGACAUCACUCACAGAAGACGCACCGGCUAACUCCGUGCCAGCAGCCGCGGUAAUACGGAGGGUGCGAGCGUUAAUCGGAAUUACUGGGCGUAAAGCGCGCGUAGGUGGCUUGAUAAGCCGGUUGUGAAAGCCCCGGGCUCAACCUGGGAACGGCAUCCGGAACUGUCAAGCUAGAGUGCAGGAGAGGAAGGUAGAAUUCCCGGUGUAGCGGUGAAAUGCGUAGAGAUCGGGAGGAAUGCCAGUGGCGAAGGCGGCCUUCUGGACUGACACUGACACUGAGGUGCGAAAGCGUGGGUAGCAAACAGGAUUAGAUACCCUGGUAGUC
rnacentral:rRNA from 1 species